CGGAAGUUCAAGUCUUCCCAGGCCCACCACUUUCCGGCGUAGUUGCUGCGGCUGGGCAGGCUCGGGUUGGCAAGCCAGUCGUCUCGACGAUCUCUGCGCAAACAUUCGUCUUUCCGGUUAUGGGGCCUUAGCUCAGCUGGGAGAGCGCGUGCUUUGCAAGCAUGAGGUCGUCGGUUCGAUCCCGACAGGCUCCACCAGCCUUCGUGCCUAUCGGCGCGGCAAGCUGGCCGACGAGCCAUAUCGUCCGCGAAACAUCACUUCGCAUCCAUUGCCGCAAUCGGCAUGGAGUUGCGGGUUAUUCGACAUCGUGAAGAGGAGAUCGAUCCGAGUUGGGGUCGUGCAAUGGAGCGCCAUCGAGCAAUCGAUAGCGACUUCGGACUUUGCAUGGACGCCUUCACUAUCUCCGGGUCAUUUCGGCGCAAGUAUCGAGCUGUGAAGCUUGUCACUUGUUGUAAAUGACUCUGUUAGCUGCGCUUGACCGCACGGCUAUCGGUUCGAUCUUACGAAGCAAGCUGGUCUUUCUAGUCAAUGUCCGGCCGCUAUCUGAACGCUUGUCCCUCGGGGCAGGGUGGGAUGCGGCCAACAUUCUGCCGAGUGUGUGGACAUUGAUAAUGAGAGCAAUCAAGUGCCUUAAGGGUGUUCGGUGGAUGCCUUGGCGCUGAGAGGCGAUGAAGGACGUGCUACGCUGCGAUAAGCCGUGGGGAGCUGCGAAGAAGCUUUGAUCCACGGAUUUCCGA
rnacentral:misc_RNA from 1 species